rnacentral:rRNA from 1 species
UACGUAGGGUGCGAGCGUUGUCCGGAAUUAUUGGGCGUAAAGGGCUCGUAGGCGGUCUGUCACGUCGGGAGUGAAAACUCAGGGCUUAACCCUGAGCCUGCUUCCGAUACGGGCAGACUAGAGGUAUGCAGGGGAGAACGGAAUUCCUGGUGUAGCGGUGAAAUGCGCAGAUAUCAGGAGGGACACCGGUGGCGAAGGCGGUUCUCUGGGCAUUACCUGACGCUGAGGAGCGAAAGUGUGGGGAGCGAACAGG